UGAGCAAGCCAGGCAGUCGCGUGCGCAAGCAUGAGGAAAGUCCGGGCUCCGCAGGGCAAGGGUGCCGGAUAACGUCCGGUGAAGGCGACUUUAAGGAAAGUGCAACAGAAACACACCGCCGAAACGGUACGCGCUACGGCGCGGGACGUGGCAAGGUUGAAAUGGUGAGGUAAGAGCUCACCGGCGGCAUGGUAACAUGCCGGCCGUGUAAACCCCACCCGGAGCAAGGCCAAGCAGGGCGCUUCCCCGCGGUUUCCGCAGGGAUAUCAAGCGGCGGCCCGCCGCUGCCCGGUAUGGUAGGCCGCAAGAGCCUGUUGGCGACAGCAGGCCUAGAUAGAUGACUGCUUAAUACAGAACCCGGCUUAUGGCUUGCUCAUUUU
rnacentral:RNase_P_RNA from 1 species